AAUAGCCUAACGGCUGAACCAGCAACUUGGAGGAAUGAAUAGCAACAGCUAAUUGCACAUAAAUAUAAUGCAAUAUCGACUCAGUCGAAUAAAAUUCUGGGUAGAAUUAUGAUAAUGACAUUGUUUACCCAUGUGUCUUGGCUAAAUUACGUGCCAGCAGCCGCGGUAAUACAUAGAAGACUAGUGUUAUUCAUCUUUAAUAGGUUUAAAGGGUACCUAGACGGUAAAUCGAGCCCUAGACGGGACUAAUUUGCUAGAGUUACUUACACGGGGGCUAUAAAGUACUAAUAGUGUAGAGAUAAAAUUUUAUAAUACUAUUUUUCGAAAGAAAAGUUAUGGCACUGGUAAAGGCGAAAGCAUCCCCUUAUGUGAUAACUGACGUUGAAGGACGAAGGCUUUGGGUCGCGAAUAGGAUUAGAUACCCUAGUAGUCGAAGCAGAAAAUUAUGAGUGUCAUAGAUUAGAGAUAAAUUUUUAUUCUAUAAAUGAAAGUGUAAGCACUCCACCUCAAGAGUAAUUUGGCAACAUUGGAACUGAAAUCAUUAGACCGUUUCUGAAAUCAGUAGUGAAGUAUGUUGUUUAAUCUGAUAAUCCGCAUAAAACCUUACCACAGCUUGAAUGUUUAUAUCUUUGAUAUAUUUACAAGCGUUGCAUGGCUGUCUUCAGUUGAUGUCGUGAGAUUAUGGUUAGAUCCAUUAAAUUAACGCAAACCCUUGCUUUAUUUAUAAAUAAAGUCGUUCCUCAUUAUAUUGGAUAUGAUAACAGGGACUAAGACAAGUCGUCAUGGCCUGAAUGCUGUGGGCUAUAGACGUGCCACAUAGACCUUUACAAAAGGAUGUGAAAUUGUGAAAUUGAGCUAAUCCCCCAAAACUGGAUAUAAUCUUAAU
rnacentral:rRNA from 1 species